GACAGAGGGUGCAAACGUUGUUCGGAAUUACUGGGCGUAAAGCGCGUGUAGGCGGCCCUGCAAGUCGGGUGUGAAAUCCCACGGCUCAACCGUGGAAGUGCACUCGAAACUGCAGGGCUAGAGUCCUGGAGAGGAAGGUGGAAUGCUUGGUGUAGAGGUGAAAUUCGUAGAUAUCAAGCGGAACACCGGUGGCGAAGGCGGCCUUCUGGACAGUGACGUGACGCUGAGACGCGAAAGCGGUGGGGAGCAGACGAGG
rnacentral:rRNA from 1 species